rnacentral:misc_RNA from 1 species
CUUCUUUUACAGAGCCAUGGUUUCUGGGCUUGUUGAGCUCGAAAUAUUGAGGGGUAAAAACUACCCUCAGACGGAAGACGAUCCGAAUCCCUGCACGACCCAGGUGACAGUAUCAGUAGCUGACGCAUUAUCAGGCGCCGUUCUCUCUCCUGCGCAGUUGUCAUCUAUUCAGCAAAACUCGAAUGCCCCAUUUUACAACGACACACUGAAUUUCAGGGUGGAGGACGCAUCUGAAGAUGUUUGUCUUUCCAUUACAGUGAUUGAACACUCUCGUCGAAAAAUGCCGUUUGUUCUUUUUUAUGGCAAGCAGAUUAUUGGCCUUUCCAAGCUAAAAGCAAAGCAGCGAUUUGUGAUUCCUCUGUUCUCGGAGGAAGAGGGUAUUCAACAAGUCGAAAUCGGCGCAGACACGCUGGACCUUGAAAGCAGCGGAGGAGCACCAUUCUUGAGCGCACGUGUCCAGUUUACAAAAGAUAAAAUUUUUGACAAGACCGAUCCGUAUUCCGAUGUGGAUGUAUCAGGCAAGGGCUUAUCCUUCGACGGCAAGAAUCAACUGGUUCCCGAAGGGACCCAGUACGUAUGGCUGAGGCUGAAAAGCGACAAAAAAUGGACGAACUCUUUUCAAUAUGAGCUCUCCGUUGCUUGGCGUUCUCGUGCUCCACUCGAAACGGAGGCUCAGGGCAACAUGAAGUCGCGGAAAGGCAUUACUGGAGGCAUGGCUGCAAUUUCUGCAGAACCGGACUCGACACGGACACUGGGCGACAUCAUCAUCAAAAAAUGGUGUUGCCGCCGCACGCACCAGGUACUCACUCGAGUUUGCAUUACUGCAGAGAAGUAUGGAAAUAAAGUCACAGAUCUCACAUUCACUCCAAAGGAGGAGGUGGAGUUUCGCACCAACAAAAAGGAGCGCUGUGUUUUUCUCGAGCAAAUUUGCAAAAAGAGACUGGAAGACGCUUGUAGCAACUGUCUUCGAGAGUGGCUCAACAGGUUAUGGAUUCUUUUUGUUACCGGUGUCGACAGCGAUCCUGCAGGACCGAGAGCUUUAAGCUACGAGGUGCGAAAGGCUGUCCAUGAUGCACAAUUCACAGAAGCAGAUGCCAUUAUCCUGCAAGCGUGCCUUUUGUUUUCCUUUAUUCCGUCUCUCAAGUACGAAGUGUGUCAAGCCCUUUCCGAGUCUGAUUAUCAAGCCGCUCAGCCGGAAAAAAAGAUAGAGGUGAGCACUUUGGAAUCACCCCAGCGUCGUGUAACACCUUCACAGGAGACGUUCACUCAUGUUUUUAUUUCGUUUGUCGGCUCACUUCUUGACACGCUAACCGAGGCGGAGAUCGCUAAGGCCGCAGCUGAGUUUAAGCCUGCUAUAUGGGAUGCACAGCAGCGCAUUGCCAAAGGCGCAAAAAGCACAAUCGGUUCUUGCAGAAAGAAAUACGAAGGGUCCAUUUUCAAAGGCAGUGGUAUUCAUAUCGAUCACUUGGACAAGCUCGGACGUCGCAAGCAAGUGCCGAAAUUUGUUUGACGAAGGAUUGUGCUUAUCACACCGAGAAUCUCUUGGGCCUGAAAACACUUUCUCUCCACUUUUUCUUUUAACGCGGCGCAUGUACAAUACCGAAAAGAAAAAAAAAUACGAUCUUUAUUUGUCGCGCUUUCAAGAUUUGACACCAAGGAGAAAACGAUAUAGUAAGUGUAGCGUGAUAAACUGUGCACACAGAAAAAAUACUUUUCUGUCUUGACGUGGGUUACCAGGUCGAAAAAAAAAUAAAGCAACUCUCUUGCAUGUGCAAUCAUCUUUUUUUUUCCAGUUCCAAGUAUCUUGUUUUUAUUUGGCUUUCUGUUGCUACCAUAUUUCUCUGAUGAUGCGGUCCACCUAAAACCGCGGCAUCAGGGUCUAGUACUCACUCUGUGGGGAAGCGGAUAUCGUACAGACUGCCCUCGGGUACGACUGGCGGACUCGUGGUUUCAGCGGACAGGUCUGGGCCGGUUCUGAGCCGAAGAGGCUUGCGGUCAUGAUCAUGUUUGUAGUAGCUCACUACGAAUCGCGUCUUCGAUUCAACAAGUAUACGCAUCGAACCACAGCCUCUCUGCUUCUGCUGCGUUGCGGUGAUGCUGAGCUUAGUUCUGGACUUAGGCUCCGCUGCAUGUAGCGAAAUUUCAGUGGAUUGAGCGGCGCCAAACAGUAUUGGUUGGUUCGGCUCCUUGACAUAACCGUGGCACAACAGAGGUGGAUGAGCUGUGGCUGCAUGCGUCUAUUUGUUAACUUGUUUGUGGCAUCAUGAUACGUUGAAGAAAAGCCAACUUGCUGCCAUCUUUUUUCCGCUAACCAAUGCUUCGAUGUAGCUCGAUUUUCUC